GCUUACACAUGCAGUCGUACGAGAAAUCUCCUGCUUGCAGGAGAGAGUAAAGUGGCGCACGGGUGAGUAACACGUGGGUAAUCUACCCCUGAAUUUGGGAUAACGUCGCGAAAGCGAUGCUAAUACCGGAUAAUAUCUAAUGUAUUAUGGUACGUUAGAUCAAAGAGGGCCUCUACAUGUAAGCUUUCGUUUGGGGAUGAGCCCGCGGGCCAUUAGCUUGUUGGUAGGGUAACGGCCUACCAAGGCGACGAUGGUUAGCUGGUCUGAGAGGAUGAUCAGCCACACUGGAACUGACACACGGUCCAGACUCCUACGGGAGGCAGCAGUGAGGAAUCUUGCGCAAUGGGGGAAACCUUGACGCAGCAACGCCGCGUGAGUGAAGGAGGCCUUCGGGUCGUAAAGCUCUGUCAAGUGGGAAGAAAAUGUUUCGAAUUAAUAACUCGGAGCACUGACGGUACCACUGAAGGAAGCACCGGCUAACUCCGUGCCAGCAGCCGCGGCAAUACGGAGGGUGCAAGCGUUAUUCGGAAUUACUGGGCGUAAAGGGCGCGCAGGCGGCUCUUUAAGUCAGGCGUGAAAGCCCAAGGCUAAACCUUGGAAGUGCGUUUGAAACUGAAGAGCUUGAGUACGGGAGAGGGAAGUGGAAUUCCUGGUGUAGAGGUGAAAUUCGUAGAUAUCAGGAGGAACACCGGUGGCGAAAGCGACUUCCUGGACCGAUACUGACGCUGAGCGCGAAAGCGUGGGGAGCAAACAGAUUAGAGACCCUGGUAGUCCACGCCGUAAACGAUGAACACUAGUGUAGCGGGUAUUGACUCCUGCUGUGCCGCAGCUAACGCAUUAGUGUUCCGCCUGGGGACUACGUCGCAAGCUAAACUCAAGAAUUGACGGGGCCGCACAAGCGGUGGAGCAUGUGUUUAUUCGACGCACGCGAGAUCUUACCUGGAUUGACAUCCCAGAUGCCCUGAAAAAGGAGUGCCCUCGGGGACUGUGACAGUGCUGCAUG
rnacentral:rRNA from 1 species